UACGUAGGGUGCGAGCGUUAAUCGGAAUUACUGGGCGUAAAGUGUGCGCAGGCGGCCGCGCAAGUCGAGUGUGAAAGCCCCGAGCUUAACUUGGGAAUUGCGCUCGAAACUACGUGGCUGGAGUGUGGCAGAGGAAGGUGGAAUUCCAGGUGUAGCGGUGAAAUGCGUAGAGAUCUGGAAGAACACCAAAGGCGAAGGCAGCGUCCUGGGAAGCAUCUGACGCUCAGGUGCGAAAGCUAGGGGAGCGAACGGG
rnacentral:rRNA from 1 species